rnacentral:tRNA from 1 species
GGUCUCUUGGCCAAGUGGGUGAAGGCAGUGGUUUUAUGGGCCACCGAUCGUGGGUUCGAGCCCCACAGGGACCA